UACGUAGGCAGCGAGCGUUGUUCGGAGUUACUGGGCGUAAAGGGUGUGUAGGCGGUUGUUUAAGUUUGGUGUGAAAUCUCCCGGCUCAACUGGGAGGGUGCGCCGAAUACUGAAUGACUUGGAGUGCGGGGAGAGGAAAGUGGGAAUUCCUGGUGUAGCGGUGGAAAUGCGCAGAUAUCAGGAAGAACACCCGUGGCGAAGGCGGUUCUCUGGGACGGUACUGACGCUGAGACGCGAAAGCGUGGGGAGCGAACAGG
rnacentral:rRNA from 1 species